AUUGAACGCUGGCGGCAGGCCUAACACAUGCAAGUCGAACGAGUGGCGGACGGGUGAGUAAUGCCUGGGAAACUGCCUGAUGGAGGGGGAUAACUACUGGAAACGGUCGCUAAUACCGCAUACCAUCGGAUGUGCCCAGCUGGGAUUAGCUAGUUGGUGGGGUAAAGGCUCACCUAGGGGACGAUACCUAGCUGGUCUGAUAGGAUGACCAGCCACACGGGAAGUGGGACACGGUCCAGACUCCUAGGGGAGGCAGCAGGGGGGAAUAUUGGACAAGGGGCGCAGGCCGGAUGCAGCCAGGCCGCGUGGAGGAAGAAGGCCUUCGGGUUGUAAAGUACUUUCAGCGGGGAGGCGUUACCCGCAGAAGAAGCACCGGCUAACUCCGUGCCAGCAGCCGCGGUAAUAC
rnacentral:rRNA from 1 species